rnacentral:siRNA from 1 species
CAGGGUCUUGCGUCGAGCUGCGAU